AACACAUGCAAGUCGAGCGGAAAGGCCCUUUCGGGGGUACUCGAGCGGCGAACGGGUGAGUAACACGUGAGUAAUCUGCCCUGCGCUCUGGGAUAGCCACCGGAAACGGUGAUUAAUACCGGAUAGGACCACUUCACGCAUGUGAUGGUGGUGGAAAGUUUUUUCGGCGCAGGAUGUGCUCGCGGCCUAUCAGCUUGUUGGUGAGGUAACGGCUCACCAAGGCUUUGACGGGUAACCGGCCUGAGAGGGUGACCGGUCACACUGGGACUGAGACACGGCCCAGACUCCUACGGGAGGCAACAGUGGGGAAUAUUGGACAAUGGGCGGAAGCCUGAUCCAGCAACGCCGCGUGAGGGAUGACGGCCUUCGGGUUGUAAACCUCUUUCAGUACCGACGAAGCGAAAGUGACGGUAGGUACAGAAGAAGGACCGGCCAACUACGUGCCAGCAGCCGCGGUAAUACGUAGGGUCCGAGCGUUGUCCGGAAUUAUUGGGCGUAAAGGGCUCGUAGGCGGUUUGUCGCGUCGGGAGUGAAAACACCGGGCUUAACUCGGUGCCUGCUUUCGAUACGGGCAGACUAGAGGUAUGCAGGGGAGAAUGGAAUUCCUGGUGUAGCGGUGAAAUGCGCAGAUAUCAGGAGGAACACCGGUGGCGAAGGCGG
rnacentral:rRNA from 1 species